UUAUCUCCGAUUAAGGGCGAAGAAAACCGAAGCUCCAAAAUCUCGGGUAUAUAAUCCCGGCAGAUUUUGACGAAAGGGAAGUCUCCAGAGUUCCGUCUCCGCAGAUAGUUCUUUCCGAGAGAGGAUCAACCGAGAAGCUCCUGCCGAAUUCGACCCCGGGAAGGCAAGAGCUGAUCAGCUAGGAUUUAGCACAUCAACCCAGCGCGCAAGGAAUACUCACGUCGCCCGCACCCCUCGACCACCAAGGCGGUCGACACUGCGGCCGAGGACAAAAACGAGCGCGACGUGUCGCGACGCGUUCUUGUACCGGUUUUUGCGACCCGUCGUCAAGUCGCGUGCCGAAUCAUCCAAACUCGAGCUUUAAAUCACGGCGGAAACACCAGCAGCGCAUAUUAUAGGUUCGGGGCGCACACCGCGCGAUCAUUAAUCGGUGGCUCCACACUCACCGUCUGUAUGAAUCAAGCGCCGCACGAGAUGCUUGCGUAAUUAAGCAUCAAGCAAAUCGCUCACUCACAACUGUGACCCCGCGUGGAUCGUAGCGACCGCGGAAACAACUCGCACGAUCACCAAACACCCAAACAUUGGGAUGUCGCGUCGCGGCACGCGGUCGUAACGUGCAAAUAAAGACUUAUUGUGUUAUACUUA